rnacentral:rRNA from 2 species
CGUGAACCUUUACUAUAGCUUGACACUGAACAUUGAGCCUUGAUGUGUAGGAUAGGUGGGAGGCUUUGAAGUGUGGACGCCAGUCUGCAUGGAGCCGACCUUGAAAUACCACCCUUUAAUGUUUGAUGUUCUAACGUGGACCCGUAAUCCGGGUUGCGGACAGUGUCUGGUGGGUAGUUUGACUGGGGCGGUCUCCUCCUAAAGAGUAACGGAGGAGCACGAAGGUUGGCUAAUCCUGGUCGGACAUCAGGAGGUUAGUGCAAUGGCAUAAGCCAGCUUGACUGCGAGCGUGACGGCGCGAGCAGGUGCGAAAGCAGGUCAUAGUGAUCCGGUGGUUCUGAAUGGAAGGGCCAUCGCUCAACGGAUAAAAGGUACUCCGGGGAUAACAGGCUGAUACCGCCCAAGAGUUCAUAUCGACGGCGGUGUUUGGCACCUCGAUGUCGGCUCAUCACAUCCUGGGGCUGAAGUAGGUCCCAAGGGUAUGGCUGUUCGCCAUUUAAAGUGGUACGCGAGCUGGGUUUAGAACGUCGUGAGACAGUUCGGUCCCUAUCUGCCGUGGGCGCUGGAGAACUGAGGGGGGCUGCUCCUAGUACGAGAGGACCGGAGUGGACGCAUCACUGGUGUUCGGGUUGUCAUGCCAAUGGCACUGCCCGGUAGCUAAAUGCGGAAGAGAUAAGUGCUGAAAGCAUCUAAGCACGAAACUUGCCCCGA